GAGUCACUGGCCCCGUCCGCAUCCUUCUCCAGCGGCCCCGGGGGCCGCCGCGCCUUAACUCGAUCAGGGCUGCAGCGGCUCGCUGGCUUGACCAGUGCAGAAGGGGCGUGGGUACUAACAGUCUAAGCAGAAAAAGAAGAACAGAUGGUGGUAAGACCUAGAAUGUUUACCCCAUUAAGAUCUAUAUCUGAAUCCAGAAGGAACACCUCAUUGCCGAGAAGAGCCCUGCAGACAGUUCACACCUCUGUUUCUUUUGCAAGAUAUAGCUACCUCAAAAAAUCCUUUCUUGAUCAAACUCUUAUGGCCUGGAAUCCUUGCGUUUCUGCUGAUGACUGUCAUUUUAGAGUACUUACUAAAGACAAUGGUUGGGGAAAUAGAUAUUUUAAAAAUAAGGGAAAAAGUGGGUAGGGUAAACCCAGGCUUACUUAUGUAAACUCUGAGUGCUGAAGUUAGAAGACAACUUUUAAGAUUAAAAAAAAAAAAAAAAAAA
rnacentral:lncRNA from 1 species